rnacentral:rRNA from 1 species
AGUGAACGCUGGCGGUAGGCCUAACACAUGCAAGUCGAACGGCAGCACAGUAAGAGCUUGAUCUUACGGUUGGCGAGUGGCGGACGAGUAAGAAGUACAUCGGAAUCUACUUUUUCGGGGGGGAUAACGUGGGAAAACUUACGCUAAUACCGCAUACGAACUACGGGUGAAUGCAGGGGAUCUUCGGACCUUGGCCGAUAGAUUGAGCCGAUGUCGUAUUAGCUAGUUGGCAGGGUAAAGGCCCACCAAGGCGACGAUCCGUAGCGGGUCUGAGAGGAUGAUCAGCCACACUGGAACUGAGACACGGUCCAGACUCCUACGGGAGGCAGCAGUAGGGAAUAUUGGGCAAUGGGCGAAAGCCUGAUCCAGCCAUACCGCGUGGGUGAAGAAGGGUUUCGGGUUGUAAAGCCCUUUUAUUGGGAAAGAAAAGCAGCAGGUUAAUCCCCCGCUGUUCUGACGGUACCCAAAGAAUAAGCAACGGCUAACUUCGUG